CGCGUAGGCGGUCUUGUCGGUCAGAUGUGAAAGCCCAGGGCUCAACCCUGGACGUGCAUUUGAAACAGCAAGACUUGAGUACGGGAGAGGAAAGCGGAAUUCCUGGUGUAGAGGUGAAAUUCGUAGAUAUCAGGAGGAACACCGAUGGCGAAGGCAGCUUUCUGGACCGAUACUGACGCUGAGGCGCGAAGGCGUGGGUAGCGAACAGGAUUAGAUACCAUGGUAGUCC
rnacentral:rRNA from 1 species